AUACAGAGGGUGCAAGCGUUAAUCGGAAUUACUGGGCGUAAAGCGCGCGUAGGUGGUUAGUUAAGUUGGAUGUGAAAGCCCUGGGCUCAACCUGGGAAUGGCAUUCAAAACUGGCUGACUAGAGUAUGGUAGAGGGAAGGGGAAUUCCAGGUGUAGCGGUGAAAUGCGUAGAUAUCUGGAGGAACAUCAGUGGCGAAGGCGCCUUCCUGGACUAAUACUGACACUGAGGUGCGAAAGCGUGGGUAGCAAACAGGAUUAGAUACCCGAGUAGUCC
rnacentral:rRNA from 1 species